rfam:Schistosoma rodhaini strain Burundi genome assembly, scaffold: SROB_scaffold0001444
AGCUUUCUGAAUCCGUGCCAAGAUUUCGUCAAAUAUUAACCCAAAACGUCUGAUAAGGCUUCAAAGAUUAGUGAAUUA